GCCCGGGUGGCGGAACUGGUAGACGCAGCGGGCUUAAACCCCGCGGCCGUUUCGACGGCGUGAGUGUUCGAGUCACUCCCCGGGCACCU
rnacentral:tRNA from 3 species